rnacentral:snoRNA from 1 species
AUGCAAUGAGGGCACUUCUAUAAUAAUUCUGUGUACCUUUCCCAUGCCUCAUACAAGGACUCAUCAUUCAUUUGUUGGAAAGCAAUGAUCUCGUUCCUCAACUU